GGGGGACUAAGGUUUUCCUGAGCUGUGUGGCUAAUGACAUGUAUAGAUGCGGGACUGAUCCUUGUUUCAACACGGUUGUCCAAAGGCAAAUGAUUAGUUGCGAAACUGCUUAGCUACCCUGCAAAAACAGAUCAACCAGUACAGAAACACGUUGUUUUAGGCCAACUGUAACACCUAAAUUGUAAGAGAUCAUAUAAAAGGAGAAAAGUUAUUUUCCUACAUUUUAUGUGUAUGUUGAAUCUACUUAUCAUCACAUGUGACACUAGUACACAGAAGCUCUAUAGUGGCGGUUCUAAACCUAUUUACACAGGCGUUUUUCAGUACCGCCAGUGCUAGGGGUCAGUGGAAAUCAGCAUUUCCACUGGCGGUUAUUUUGGAACCGCCAGUGAAAAGUGCAUUUUCACUGGCGGUUUUCUUAAGGAACCGCCAGUGAAAAUUGCAUUUCCACUGGCGGCUGAAUAAAGAAAACCGCCAGUGGAAAUGCAUUUCCACUGGCGGUUUUAUAAAGCAAACCGCCAGUGGAAAUGCACUUUUCACUGGCGGUUUUCUUUAUUUAACCGCCAGUGGAAGUUUUCCCGCCUUUUUUCAAAAUUUCAAACAAUACUGAAUUAUAUAUAUAUUUAUUUACACACACACAAACAUAUAUAUAUAUAGAUCUAUAUUGAUAUUGAAAGCAACAUGAAAUUAAAUUCUAUCAUACAUUUAUAUACAUCAAAGUAUUCUGUUUACAACCAUAUAUGCUUCAUGCAUUCUAUACAUCAUAAGUUUUCACCUAAGCUCUAAUAACUAUCUCGGCUAAGAGAUAAUCUACUAAUUUCUGUUAGUAUUCUGAACUCUGGCAAAGCUAAUGUCCCGGAAGCAUCGUGAUAUUUUCCUUCUGCGGGAAUGACCUCUUUCAAUAUGAAUGUGCAGAGGUCCUCGACUAUGCCAUACAAUGCAGCUUCGGUCAAGUUCUCCGGGUUUCCUCGUUGAAAUUGCUGUAAAGGAAUUUUAUAAACAUCAUCUAUUUAUACUCAAUAAUAACACAUUUGCAUCUUUAAUGACAUAAAUACAUACUUGACUAUUACUAAUAAUACCUUGUCAGGGUUCGUGAUGUAUCGUCCGUUCACUCUCAUGAACUCGCACGCAUAGAAUCCACAUAGGACCGAUCCUUGUGGUUGCUUGUGGCACUACAUAACGGGAGAUUGGUUAUUUAGUUGCAACAUUGUGUAUGAUAUGUAUUCAUAAAAUCACAUACUUACCGGCCAGUGAUGAUGGAUGUCUAGUGGCACGCCUUUUUUCGACAGGUCGUACUUUCCACCUCUCAUCUUAUAGAAUCUAUAAGCCCUGUGAUCUCAAAUAGAAUCACCAUGUUAUUCUCAAAUUUUAAUCGAUAAAAGUAUGCAUGCAUAGAAAAGGCUUACAGCUCUAAGGUGCUGAGGAAUUCUGCAUAUGUCGAAGGGUCGAAGUUCAAGGAGUCGAGCACCAGCACCUUUCCAACCUUAGGAUAAAUGAGGAAGCAUAUCCAGUGGUCCCUGUACGAAUCAAAUUUGUGAUGCAUGUGUAUUGAAAUUAUUGAUUUUAUUUAUGCAAAAUCACACUUACUUAAAGUUGUACGGGGCUAUUAUGGCUUCCCUGUCUUGAAAUUGAAGCAUUGCAUGUCCUAUAUAGGUGGCGUAUCGAGCUUCAAAAUCCUUCUUCAUAUCCUUUAUACGCUUCUCAACUUCUUCGUCCGUCUUUCCCCGUAAUUCAUCGUUGUCUUUCCCGAUUCUAAAAGUGUGGCUUUCCUCGGAUAUAAAUAUUGGGUUGAGAUACCCAACCCUUUUACUGGCACUAGCAUUAGGCUUGGUACCGUAAAGAAUCUCCUGCUGAUCAUGUUGCAUUCUGCAAGUCACACGUGCAUGUCAGAUAUUGAAAUUUUAUACAACUCACUAAUAAUAACACACAUAUGUGGAAGUAUGAGCGACACUUACAAUGCAAACAUCGUUACAAGUUGCACGUCGAGUCUCUGAAGGUUCAUCAUUAACCACAUGUCCUCGAAUGUAACAACGGCCUUUUGGUCCGAACCAAUAAAAGCAUGGUCUGGUAUAUGCACACUGAUGGUGUCGAUGCCAACCGAUGAUGCCCGCAUGUACCAGUCAUGCAACCUUUUAACACCAGCCGGGACCUUUCUUAGUUUCUCAAGAGGUAGCAGAGGUCUGCCCGGCACAUAUUUUUUAGGCACGUUUUUGUAAUCUGCCUUAGUUGGCUUCUUUAUUUUUGCGGCCAUUGCCUCAGCCUUUUUUGCAGACUCCUCGUGCUUGGCCAAAUCAACAGUUUGUGACGUUAGGCUCCGUCCAAUCCCUUUCAAAAACCGAGCUGUGCCAGCAGUAGUAGCUUUACUCUUCUUUUUCUGAUACGGGGACACCAAUUUUGGAAUAGGAAGUUUAGAUUUCUUUGAUGGCCUUGGAUCCUUUGAUGGUUGUGGAGAAGGUGGAUCCCUUGAUGGUGGCGUAGACAGUGGGUCACCAAGAGGAUGGGGAGGAGAAGGUGGUGGAGCCCUGAAUGGUGAUGCUUGUGGCAGAGACGGUGGGUCAGAAAAAGGAUGAGGAGCAGCUUGUGAAGUUUGAGGAGGUGAGGAUGAUGGAUGUACAAUAGGAGCAAAAAUUUGAGAAGGCGGAGACGGUUGGGCCUGCGACGCCUGCGACGAAUUCGACCAAUCAAGCAAAUCGACAUCCCUUCGAGGCCAAAGGAUAAAAUUAUUGAUAGCUUGUCCAAGUUUCUCGAUACCUUCGGGCCCAGGGAUGUCUAGCAUGUCGUCCUCGGAUCCUUGGACGACCGACGUCACUUCUACUUUGCAAUAAUCAUCUGGAAUAUCGUUUCCAUGGAACUUACGUCCUGGGAUCGCAAGGCCUGUGGCUACUUUCUUUGUACGUUUAUUGUUAAUACCAUAUCUUAUAACCAGUGUGCACGCCACAGGCCUUGUGAUGUCAUCAACUGGAUAACGGUCCUUAUUUCCCGUUGAAGCAACAGAGCUUGGUAAUGUCGUACAAUCUGUGGAAGCCGGCGGUUGAGCUGCUGGAAUUAUUUGUAUUUGUGGAGUGGUCAUCUGUUGAACAGACAUCGCACUCGCCAACUGUUGCAUCAAUUCUGGAGGAGGAUUCGAUAGCAUUUGAGACAUCAUGGCUUUGAACUCUUUCUUGGCCUCCUCCUUAAAAUAAUCCGCCAUCUCUUCCUUGUAUCGAUCACGUUUCCUGUACAGACUUUCCCACUGUUGUCCGAAUCCUUCCUUCCAUCCUUCCUUAGACGAGAUUCCUCGUACACGGCCAGGAUGCUCAGGGUUACCGAGACCAGCCGUUAGGAUGUCUCUUUCCCUUUGUGGCUUAAAAGUUCCUUCGCUCUGCUUAGCUGCCAUUGUAUAUAUGUUUUUUGCCGCUUCUUCGACAAUGGGAUCAUCAAAAGAUACACCGGUCUCGGUUUCCCUUGGUUUUCUAGCACGGAGCCAAUUUGCCGCCCUUUCACCAAGUUGCUCGGACAGCGUCGACAACCCUGCGGCCUUCUUCUCGGCGUCUUCUUGUCUCCAUUUAGGAACCUGACACUUGUAACCACCUGUGCCUAGGUGGUGGCGGUACUUGUUCUUCUUUGAUAGUUCUGAAUUUGCCUCACUUAGAGAUAUGAAAUCAGGGCUGCUCCUCUGCUCUAGAAAUACUGCCCACUGACCUGCUGAGAUUUUAUAUUUUUUGGUCGGGUCCAGACCUUUCUUUGCAAACUUUGUGUUCAUCUCAGACCUCCAGUUUCGGAAAUUGAUUGCAAGCUGCUUCAUCGUGUAUUCCUUCACGAGUUCUUCUAAACCCCGAGGCAGAACGAACCUCAUUAAUAGCUUAUUCCAUAUUUGAUUCUUGACAUCAUCUGGCACAUCUCUCCACUGUCGUAUUGUUAUGUCAAGAUUAUCUCUAACUAAAAACCCAAGUGCAUUCCGGAACUUAGGUAGUGCCUCUUCCGGAGCUAGGGGCUGACCUUUCGGGCUCACGUCUGAGAUUUUGUAUGUUUUGUCGGGAAACUUGUUCAGCCCCCUGUCACCUCUUUUUCGAUCGCUCUGCUUCCUUUUCCUUGACGUCUCGGUUGUUGUCUUGGUCUGUUCCGGUGCGUCUUGGUUUCGUGCCACGGCUUCUUCGAGUAUCGCACGAAAUUCAGACACGACCUCCUAUUCAUGUAAUAAAAAGCACAAGAGAUCAUGCAUGUGAAAUCAGUAGGGUACACAUACGAAGCUAAAGAUGCGUACUUUUACCUCAGCUUCUUGUGGAUCAUAAGUAGGGUCACGUUGCAACUCACGGAGAGCGGCCCUAUCUAUGCUAGUGGUAGGAAAAGGGUCGCUAGGCGUUUCAUAUCCUUCACUGCUGGAUUGUUCUUGAGCAACACUCUUGUCCAUGUGCUCGGGCACUAAAUCUUGGUCCUUGAUUGGAGAACUCAUUGAGCUAUAUAUAUACAAAUACAUAAGCAAUAAUUAAAUACAUAUUAACACAUAUUAACGUAAGCAAUAAUUAAAUUCAUAUUAACAAAUAGUAUAAUUAAAUACAUCCUCAGUCACUAAACCCUUAACCCUAACCCUAAACCCUAACCCUAAACCCUUAACCCUAACCCUAACCCAAAACCCGAACCCUUAACCCAAAACCCGAACCCUUAACCCAAAACCCGAACCCUUAACCCAAAACCCGAACCCUUAACCCUAACCCUAACCCUAACACUAAACCCUAACCCUUAACCCUAACCCUAACCCUAACUAUAACCCUUAACCCUAACCCUAAACCCUUAACCCUAACCCUAACCCAAAACCCGAACCCUUAACCCAAAACCCGAACCCUUAACCCUAAACCCUAACCCUAACUAUAACCCUUAACCCUAACCCUAACCCUAACCCUAACCCAAAACCCGAACCCUUAACCCAAAACCCGAACCCUUAACCCUAAACCUAACCCUAACCCUAAACCCUAACCCUUAACCCUAACCGUAACCCUAACCCUAACCCUAAACCCUAACCCUUAACCCUAACCCUAACCCUAAACCCUAACCCUUAACCCUAACCCUAACCCUAACUAUAACCCUUAACCCUAACCCUAAACCCUUAACCCUAACCCUAACCCAAAACCCGAACCCUUAACCCAAAACCCGAACCCUUAACCCUAAACCCUAACCCUAACUAUAACCCUUAACCCUAACCCUAACCCUAACCCAAAACCUGAACCCUUAACCCAAAACCCUAACCCUAACCCUAAACCCUAACCCUUAACCCUAACCCUAACCCUAACCCUAACCCUUAACCAUAACCCUAACCCUAAACCGUAACCAUAUAGUAUCGUAUAGUCGUAUAGUAUCGUGUAGGACGGGGAGAGAGUCGCAUAGGACGUAUAAAGAGGGAGAGAGGGAGAAUCGUAUGGAUAUUAUCGAGUUACGUAUAGAGAGGGAGAGAGGGAGAGUCAUAUAGGACGAGGAGAGGGAGAGAGGGAGAGUCGCAUAGGACGUAUAGAGAGGGAGAGAGGGAGAGUCGUACGGAAAUUAUCGAGUUCAGAUCGAAUUCGGAUCGGAUCGGAUACGUAUAUUAUCGAGUUGUGACGGAUAAAAUUACAAUGUAUAUAUUCAACAUACAUUUGAACACAUAUGAACACACAUAUAUAUAUUGAACACAUACAUUUGAACACAUAUGAACACAUAUAUAUAUUGAACACAUACAUUUGAACACAUAUGAACACACAUAUGAAUACAAAUAAGUAUUGUAUGAAUACUCUCAUCUCCUCUCCUCUCUCUAUCUCUCUCCUCUCCCUCCUCUCUCUCUCUCACCCUCCUCUCCCUCCCUCUAUCUAUCUCCUCUCCCUCUAUCUCUCUCCCUCUCUCUAUCUCUCUCCUCUCCCUCCUCUCUCUCUCUCUCUCACCCUCCUCUCCCUCCCUCUAUCUAUCUCCUCUCCCUCUAUGAGAUAGAGGGAGGGAGAGGAGGGUGAGAGAGAGAGAGGAGGGAGAGGAGAGAGAUAGAGAGAGGGAGAGAGAGAUAGAGGGAGGGAGAGGAGGGUGAGAGAGAGAGAGGAGGGAGAGGAGAGAGAUAGAGAGAGGGAGAGAGCUCUCUCCCUCUCUCUAUCUCUCUCCUCUCCCUCCUCUCUCUCUCUCACCCUCCUCUCCCUCCCUCUAUCUCUCUCCCUCUCCCUCCUCUCUCUUCCCUCUCCCUCUCCUUCCUCUCUCUUCCUCCCUCUCGGCGGCGGCGGCGCGUGCGCCCUCCUCUCUCUCACUCUAUGCAGAGACGCGCGCAGGGCUCUCCCUCUCUUCCCUCUUCCUCCUCUCUCUUCCCUCUCACUCCUAGACCGAGACGGCGGCGGCGGCGGCGUGCGCCCGCGUGCGCGCGGCGGCGGCGCGCAUGGCGCCCGGCCGAGCCCGAGCGAUCACUCAACAUUGCCUUCUAGCUUUUAACAUCAACAGCUUUAGCACAGACCGGAGCGUCGUGAACUCUUUGGUACAGCCCUUAGACUCGUCGUACAAAGGCUCUUCUGCUGCCUUCUUCAGGGACUCCAUACCUUUCAUUAAGAACAUCGAUUGAUCUGUAUGACGACGCAACAUUGCCUCUAGCAACUCUGCAUCUUCCUCAUCCGUAACACUUGGCAGAACAUGAGGUCUAUCAUGUUCAUUUCCUCCAGCGUAACCAUGAUCAGUAACAUUUUGCACUACAUGUUCGCUCUGUGGAAGAGGUUGGUGUGUCUCGUGAACGAACUGAAAUCUGUCGUCGAUGUUCUCAGGGUUUCCAGUCGUAUAAGACGAAGAGCUACCCUCUCCAUGCUUUGUCCAAAUUGUGUAAUCCUUCAUAAAUCCUCGGCAUACCAGAUGAGAUAUGAUUUGUUCUGUGUCAUUAAAUACAGCAGCAUUUUUGCAGUCCAUGCAUGGACAAUAUAUGUGUUUUGUCUUUGUUCUCCAAGCAUGGUUUGUAGCGACAUCAAUAAACCUAUGGACCUCGGAUAUGUAUGAUGGAUCUAGCCUUGAUAAGUUAUACAUCCAGGAUGUCCUCUCCAUCACCACCUGUAUAAAAGUAACAUAAACACACAAGAACCAAAUAGAGAAAAUAACCUAGCUAUAGUUAUUGUCGGGAAGGAUGAAGGGGUGAAACCCUAUAUCCAAAAUGUGGCUAAAUUUGAGGAAAAUGAACAAAAAUUGGCAAGAGGAACAUAAAACCAAAUUUUCCUAGCCAUACUCUUCUCUCUAACACAUGGUGAAGGCCUAGUUCCAAAAUUGAGCAAAGAUGAACAAUAAUUGGCAAUUAAAACAUAAUUAAACCAACCUUUAAUAGCAACUAAUAAAAACAAUCUUAAUUACCAAACCUAUCUUCUUCUCUCUCCACACAACACAUGAACCAUUCAUUAAACAACUUAAUAUGUCAUGGAUAAACUGGAUUUGAGAACUAACCAUGAAAAAGGAGAGAGGAUAGACAAAAUCUAACCAUAUUAAACAACUUUAUUUAAGGGAAUAGAGAAAAUAACCUAGCUACACACUUUCUCUCUCAAAUGGUGAAACCCUAGAUCCAAAAUGUGGCUAAAAUUGAGCAAAAAUGAAUAAAAAUUGACAUUAGCAACAUAAACCAACCUUUCUUAGCAAUCUUCUUCCAAAAAAUGAAGAUCAAAACCUCUCCCCAUGUAUUCUGUGAAAUCUGGACCUCCAAAAUCGCCUCAAUGGAAGUUGGCUGCGAGCAUACAGUUCACUGUCGGGGGAAGAAGAGGGGUAUUUAUAACAGACAGUUCAAUGGCGGUUGGCUUAAGAAACCGCCAGUGAAAAUUGAUUUCCACUGGCGGUUGUCUUAACACAACCGCCAGUGGAAAUAGGAUGUUUCCACUGGCGGUUAAGUUAAGACAACCGCCAGUGGAAAUCAAUUUUCACUGGCGGUUGGUGUUACACAACCGCCAGUGGAAACAUCCUAUUUCCACUGGCGGUUGCGUUAAGACAACCGCCAGUGGAAAUUGGUUUCCACUGGCGGUUUUUAAAACCGGGCCCACCUGUUUCUUUCACUGACGUUUGAUAACGGAAACCGCCAGUGAAAAGUUGAACGUGCCGCAGGCUUUGAGCUCUUUUCUACUAGUGUGAACACCAUAUUCAAAAACAAAUAAUUAAUAAAAGAAUAUAUGCCCUUAAAUUAUGCAUCCAUGCUGGAUAUUAUUUGUGUGUGUGCAUAUUAUGACAAAAUAAAAUAAAAAAAAUGUGACAAGAAAUAUAUUAAAGUCUAAAGUGGAAUUUAAAAUUAAAAAAAGAAAUUGUAGAAUUUAGAAAGGAAAAGAAAACAAAAAAAAAGAAUGAUGAAGCCUCACAUGUACGUGAAAUCCCAUGGCCGCUUGGCCACUAGCCCAAAACUUGGACAUAGUUUUUUUUUUAUUUCUCUAAUCCCCUAGCCGAAGAUGACUUUAUCCCGUCAUUCAUGACGUCUUCUGGGCAUGCCGCAUACAUGCUUCCAUGGCCACCUGCGGGUAGGACCGGUGGUCUAGACUCAUCUCUUGUGCACGCCUGCUUCCUUUUCCUGGCUGUCGAGAGCAUUACCGUGUCGCUGUCGUGUGGGCCUGCACUAACAGGUUCGUCUUCUUUACCGAAUCUGCCGUAGACUCCGCACAAAAAGAUAGGAUCGGCUGUAACCGCCUCGCGAAGAACGGAUCUUGGGGGCUUGGGGCCGUUUUGGCUGAUACACCAUCACCUCUCGGUGCAUAAAAGCCGGGUAGCACUAGCCCCUUACUCAUACAAAGGAGUCGAAGCCUGAGCAUAUGAGAGUCGUAGUAGUUCUGCGAAGAAGCUUGACGCCAUGGCCAUCCAGUUAAACUAUCCAACCAGGAAAUAUCUUGUCAAAUCUCACGUCCAGUCCUCCACUCCUCUCUCCUUUAGUCUCUAUACGCCCACGUCGUCGCCCACCUGGUCAAUAGCUUUCACGUGCGAUUACCCAAUCUCGACCUCGGCGGCUCGGCCUCGAUCGUACCGGUCAGCUUAACCCUCCCGCUCCGCUGUCGUGCGUUCUCCUGUCACCAAACUUCAGCCGGUGCAUGGGGACGUUCCCUGGAGGCCGUGGAUUGUUCGUGGGGGUGUCCCUGCCCAUCGAUCAGUAAUCAGGACGCUGGGAUUUUGUUGGCCGCGGUGGCGUUGGCUCGGCGGGCAGUGGUAGCCGUGGCCGCUGCGUCAAAGUCAAGCGAGAAGGAGAGCAGGGAGAGAAAGAGAGCUUGUUGGUGCUGAAAGCGUUUCGCGUCUGCACUGUUGUCCAGAAUGUCGUGGCUAACGCUCCAAAUCCUGGUGAGUACCUUUCCAUACGCUUCGUCCGUAUCUCCUCUACGUCUAGCACCACUUUUCAGGGAGUUUAGCGCACUCGGGCGAUGAGUUGCGUCUCACCAGUAGACCUCCGCCGUAGGGAAUGGCGGAGCCGCCGUGGCCGCGUGCGGAGGGUGGAAGAUGGCCACUAGCCGUUGAUCUGAUGAUGGGCGCCCAAUAUUAGAAGGUAGAUACCCCUUAGGUUAGGAAGAACCUGGACCCUAGAUCUCGCGAUGUACGGUAGAAAUCUGAUCGCGGGUUCAUUAAACCGAGACCGUCGGGUUCAGAUCCGGGGGCUAUGGCUGCAUACCGGUUCGCGGUCUGUUUCUGACCUUAGAUAUCAGAUCCAAUGGCCAGAUCGAGCUCGUGUUUAUGCCGCCACGAAACUUUGCAGAUGAGUCCCUAGGGUUUUGCUUUAUUAACCCGCCGUCCACCUCGGGUCAGGGUUGAGUCUGGUCGAUUUUGCGAAUUAAACCUCGAGCUUCUUAGUAAAUGACGCACAGUCCAGAUAACAGAGAAACUAGAUAAUUAAUAUUAGAAAUUGAUUUUUAGUAUAAAAAUAAAUCUUAAAACUUGUUUAAUUCAUAUUUAAUUCAUUUUAACUCCAAAUUAAUUCAUUUCAGUGGCAUUAUUUUUUUUAAUAUUGUUUAUCACUUAGUAAAUUUGUUUAGCCAUGAAACUUGAACACAUGAGCUAUGCUUUUGUAGGUACUCAAUAACUUCGGAAAUACAUAAUUUAAUAACCGUAAAACCAAAUUUAGUGAUUCUUGUACCUACAAUCUCGUAGCGACGCGUAGAUUAUUAUUACGCAGUUUAUUCUUAGGUUUGGUGUGAUGUUAAUUCUAUAUAUACAUUGUUCGUUUGUAUUGCUACGACUAGCGUGAGGUCACGAGGAUCUGAAGAUCAUCCUGGUACCUGGAAUCUCAAGUCCCAGGCAAGUUGUGCCCUUGAUCACUUCUUUUUACCUACUCAUGUUCUGAUUAAUCAUAAUGAUCUGCAUAGGUUAAUUUUGAUGGGACCCAAUAGGUUACCCUAGUUUGAUUAUCUUUAUACCUUGUUUACCACUGAACUUUUUGGGUAGUACUUGCUAGUGCUUUAUGUGGUUUUGGGUAUGAAGAUACAUUAUUCAUGAUUACACUUUUAUUAUCAGUUUAUUAUUUCUGUUCAUGAUAAGAUCAUUAUGUUAAUUGGAACAUGGAGCGACCACCCGGGAAAACAGUGCUACCACAAGGGUUUAAUGGGACGCCCUUGGCUGAUUAAUUAGGAAAGCUAGUGGAAGACUACCUUACCUGAAAGGGGCAAGGGCAGUAGGGGAGUGGUCAGUGUAGGGAGGCCCUCGGGAGGAUUUUGCUGCGAUGGCGGUCCUGCAAGGGAUUCCUGCAUUGGAGCUUCCUAUAAACUGUAGCGGGUUUUCUGAAGCUAGUGGAACUUUGUAAAGGCCUCGUAGUGUUACCCUGCCUCGCCUCCUCGGUAGAGGUGUAUGGGAAGUCGCGAUCCCUUGGCAGAUGGGUAACAUGACUUGUGGGUAAAGAUGCGCAACCUCUGCAGAGUGUAAAACUGGUAUACUAGCCGUGCUCACGGUCAAGAGCAGCUCGGACCCUCACAUGAUUAAUUAUGGAACUUAAAUUCAAUUUGUCAUAUGCAUUGCAUUGCAGGUGAUGUUGUUACUUUGUUCUACUACUUAAUUGGGUUGGUAUUUACUUAUACUUAGUAACUGCUAAUAAAAUUUUGACCAACUUUAAAAGCAAUGCUCAGCUCUAACCAUCCUCUUUGGUAAGCCUUACACUUCACAUGAACUCCCACCUUUGGCGAGUUCAUUCACAUUAUUCCCCACAACUUGUUGAGCGAUGAACGUAUGUGAGCUCACUCUUGCUGUCUCACACCCCCCCACAGGUCAAGAACAGGUACCGCAUGAUGAUGGGCGUGGAGGAUGCUGUGGCGAGUUCGUGAGAGAUCUAGGCCGUCGUCUCCCAGUCAACUUUGGGUUGCUGGACCGUUGUCUCCUUAUAAUGUAAUUAUUUAUUUUGUAUAGAACUCCUGUUAUAUAGUAAAGAUGUGACAUUCGAUCCUGUGCCAUGAUUCAUCAUAUGUGUGAGACUUGGUCCUAGCACACCUGGUGAUUAUGUUCGCGCCCGGGCUUUGGACCCCUAAAAUCCGGGUGUGACACCAACUGAGGAGUUCCUAGAGUUUUGCAACAAAUCACCCGCUAACAAAGUGGUUACCUUUAUGUCAGUUUUUGCGCAUUGCGCUUCUCAACCAUCUGCUGUGAAUCCAAACACCCCCGGCUGGCUAUUUUUUUCUCAUCUAGCAUGCAUGCAGACAAUCU
rnacentral:lncRNA from 1 species